AUGUCGGCUCUUCCCAUCCUGGUUCUGCAGCAGGAGCCAAGGGUGGGGCUGCUCGCCCAUUAAAGGGGAACGUGAGCUGGGUUUAGACCGUCGUGAGACAGGUCGGUCUCUGCCUGACAGGGGUGUAGUUGUUUGAGGGGAAGUUGCCCAUAGUACGAGAGGAACAGGGCAGCGCAGCCUCUGGUUUAUCAGUUGUCCGACAGGGCAGGCUGAGCCGCUAAGCUGUUUAGGAUAACUCCUGAAAGCAUCUAAGGAGGAAACCUUUCCCGAGAAAAGACAACCUUCUGUAAGGAGAAGGGCAGCUAUAGAAGAUAGCGUUGAUAGAAUGGAGGUGUACGCAUCGAGCUUUUUGCGAGAUGUUCAGCCUGCCAUUACUAAUAGCCC
rnacentral:rRNA from 1 species